AACGAACGCUGGCGGCAUGCCUAACACAUGCAAGUCGAACGAGACCUUCGGGUCUAGUGGCGCACGGGUGCGUAACGCGUGGGAACCUGCCCUUAGGUUCGGAAUAACUCCCCGAAAGGGGUGCUAAUACCGGAUAAUGUCUUCGGACCAAAGAUUUAUCGCCUUUGGAUGGGCCCGCGUUGGAUUAGCUAGUUGGUAGGGUAAAAGCCUACCAAGGCGACGAUCCAUAGCUGGUCUGAGAGGAUGAUCAGCCACACUGGGACUGAGACACGGCCCAGACUCCUACGGGAGGCAGCAGUGGGGAAUAUUGGAAAAUGGGCGAAAGCCUGAUCCAGCAAUGCCGGGUGAGUGAUGAAGGCCUUAGGGUUGUAAAGCUCUUUUACCCGGGAUGAUAAUGACAGUACCGGGGGAAUAAGCUCCGGCUAACUCCGUG
rnacentral:rRNA from 1 species